GACGAACGCUGGCGGCGUGCUUAACACAUGCAAGUCGAACGGAAAGGCCCUGCUUUUGUGGGGUGCUCGAGUGGCGAACGGGUGAGUAACACGUGAGUAACCUGCCCUUGACUUUGGGAUAACUUCAGGAAACUGGGGCUAAUACCGGAUAGGAGCUCCUGCUGCAUGGUGGGGGUUGGAAAGUUUCGGCGGUUGGGGAUGGACUCGCGGCUUAUCAGCUUGUUGGUGGGGUAGUGGCUUACCAAGGCUUUGACGGGUAGCCGGCCUGAGAGGGUGACCGGCCACAUUGGGCCUGAGAUACGGCACAGACUCGUACGGGAGGCAGCAGUGGGGAAGAUUGCACAAUGGGCGGAAGCCUGAUGCAGCAACGCCGCGUGCGGGAUGACGGCCUUCGGGUUGUAAACCGCUGUCGCCUGUGACGAGACGUGAAUGACGGUAAUGGGUAAAGAAGCACCGGCUAACUACGUG
rnacentral:rRNA from 1 species